rnacentral:rRNA from 1 species
AGAGUUUGAUCCUGGCUCAGAUUGAACGCUGGCGACGUGCUUAACACAUGCAAGUCGUGCGAGAAAGUAGACUUCGGUCUAUGAGUAGAGCGGCGCACGGGUGAGUAACGCGUGGAUGAUCUACCCUUGAGUUCGGGAUAACGGUGCGAAAGCGCCGCUAAUACCGUAUAACAAUCCAUUUCAUCGUGGGUUCAAAGCAGGCCUCUUCGUGAAAGCUUGCGCUUGGGGAUGAGUCCGCGUCCCAUUAGCUUGUUGGCGGGGUAACGGCCCACCAAGGCUACGAUGGGUAGCUGGUCUGAGAGGAUGAUCAGCCACACUGGAACUGAAACACGGUCCAGACUCCUACGGGAGGCAGCAGUGGGGAAUAUUGCGCAAUGGGGGAAACCCUGA